AUUGAACGCUGGCGGCAUGCCUUACACAUGCAAGUCGAACGGCAGCACGGGAGCAAUCCUGGUGGCGAGUGGCGAACGGGUGAGUAAAGUAUCGGAACGUACCUUUCAGUGGGGGAUAACGUAGCGAAAGUUACGCUAAUACCGCAUAUUCUGUGAGCAGGAAAGCAGGGGAUCGCAAGACCUUGCGCUGAUUGAGCGGCCGAUGUCGGAUUAGCUAGUUGGUGGGGUAAAGGCCUACCAAGGCGACGAUCCGUAGCGGGUCUGAGAGGAUGAUCCGCCACACUGGGACUGAGACACGGCCCAGACUCCUACGGGAGGCAGCAGUGGGGAAUUUUGGACAAUGGGCGCAAGCCUGAUCCAGCAAUGCCGCGUGCAGGAUGAAGG
rnacentral:rRNA from 1 species